UCUGCCCUUGUUCCCGCCUCCAGGGCCUGCCUCCUGCCAAGGCCCCAGCAGUGCAGCAGGCUUCUGAGUUGGCCCAGAAGAGCCACCUUCCCUGCCCAUCAGGCCUUGAACAGAUACAAGGGACACCAGCUCAAGCCUGUCCCCAGAAUGUCCCCCUCAUGAGCUGGCCAGCCUCGUAGAACCAGGCCUGUGCGAGUGUCCAGGAGCACCAUGAAGCCUGAGGAGAAGCCAGCCACGACACUACGGCCACUGGGGCUGACUGCUAGGGAGCGGACAAGCCCAGGGUUCAGCCCGCCACCAAGGCGGAACUCGUGCUGCAGAGAGAAGAAGACUGUGCUGAGGAAUUCUCAGAAAAUGCUGAAGAUGUUUCUGAACUCCCAGACCUUCCUGCUUCCGUGGCCAGAUCAGACUCCCAUCCCCAAAGCGACAUCUUCUCUUCAUGCAGUAGCCCCUGACUAGAUGCCACUUCCCUCUGCUUGUCCCAACAUUACACCCUUCCCUUCUUUUCUUUUUCUUUUCCCUUCCCCUCUUUCACCAUAUUUUCUCUAUAUUUAUGCCAGUAAGUAAUUAAGCAAUGGUUUGCCAAACUUGUACUAGAUGCAUCAAGCCAAACCUUUAAGUGUGAUGUCUUCUAAACCACAUUUUCUGAUUCCCAUUUCACAGGUGGGAAAAUCCAUGUUUCCAACAGCAAAAUGAUUUGCUUGAGUUCACAAGCAAAUAAGGUGAUGGAGCUGAUGCAA